rnacentral:lncRNA from 1 species
CUCGGUUUAUGUGCUGCCAUAGGAGUUAAUCCACAUCAACGUCGUACUCCAUAUUGCUUUUUCAGUCUUCUAAAAGAUGUAGUUGUGGAUGAAGCCACUCCCACCUGAGCAAUGCUAAGACAUUUUCCAUAUGAUAAAUAUCCGUCUUAACAAUAUCAUGUAAUCAUGUUUCUUGAACUGAGUUUGUCUCCGAGCAAUGUAACUUUCCAGCAGUUCACUUGCAGCAUAAAUACAGAAAGCUUUUUUGGUACAACUG